rnacentral:lncRNA from 1 species
UGUUGCGGUCGCUGCUUCAGAGAGGGUCAGAUCUAUAAAGAGAUCUGAGCAAGGAAGUCAAAGGCCCUGUGAAUAUACAGGAAUCUAUCCUUCAGACUCCAGCGUUGAGAGCAUUUGGAUGCAUUAAUGGGAGAACAUUGGAAGGAGUCAGAGGAAAGAAAAGGGAGAAAACAAAUAAGGCCACAGUGAAGUCUUUCUAAAAGUUUGGAGUGCCUGAGACACAGAAGACACUGUAAGCUUGAAGAGUGUGCAUCACCUGCUGCACAGUGUGGGCUUAGGGUGUAAUAAUGUGGUUUGAAGCAUAAAACCUGGAGAAGAAGGCUGCAAAGAGUCCAGGGAACCAGUUCUGAUA